AUCAUUGUAUACAGUUAUGAUUUAAUAAAAAAAUUAAAAAAAAAAAAAGAGAAGAUUAGCAUGGCCCCUGCACAAGGAUGACACGCAAAUUCAUGAAGCGUUCCAUAUUUUU